AUGCUUUCACAACUUGACUUCAAAAUAUUUGGUUUGGAGGCCAUCAAACAUGAAUAUGUGCAUGAUGCUGAUUUUAAAGAUGUAAUGCAAAAUUGUAAGGAAGGGAGAACUUGGAACAAGUUUGUUCUUAAUGAUGGAUUUGUGUUUCGUGCUUACAAGCUGUGCAUUCCAGCUAGCUCCGUUCGUCUUUUGUUGUUGCAGGAGGCGCAUGGAGGAGGAUUAGUGGGACACUUUGGCAUCAAAAAGACAGAGGAUACACUUGCUACACACUUCUUUUGGCCAAGGAUGAGACGGGAUGUUGAGUGUUUUGUUGCUCGCUGCACUACAUGUCAAAAUGCUAAGUCACGACUCAAUCCUUGUGGUUUAUAUAUGCUUUUACCUGUACCUAGUGUUCCUUGGGAGGAUACAUCUAUGGACUUUGUUUUAGGUUUACCUCGAACAAAGAAGGGGAGGGAUAGCAUAUUUGUUGUCGUGGAUAGAUUUUCGAAAAUGGCACACUUUAUACCAUGUCAUAAACGAUGA
rnacentral:rRNA from 1 species